GACGAACGCUGGCGGCGUGCUUAACACAUGCAAGUCGAACGGUAAGGCCCUUCGGGGUACACGAGUGGCGAACGGGUGAGUAACACGUGGGUGAUCUGCCCUGCACUUCGGGAUAAGCCUGGGAAACUGGGUCUAAUACCGGAUAGGACCACUGCCUGCAUGGGUGGUGGUGGAAAGCUUUUGCGGUGUGGGAUGGGCCCGCGGCCUAUCAGCUUGUUGGUGGGGUGAUGGCCUACCAAGGCGACGACGGGUAGCCGGCCUGAGAGGGUGACCGGCCACACUGGGACGGAGAUACGGCCCAGACUCCUACGGGAGGCAGCAGUGGGGAAUAUUGCACAACGGGCGCAAGCCUGAUGCAGCGACGCCGCGUGAGGGAUGACGGCCUUCGGGUUGUAAACCUCUUUCAGCACCGACGAAGCGCAAGUGACGGUAGGUGCAGAAGAAGGACCGGCCAACUACGUGCCGGCAGCCGCCGUAA
rnacentral:rRNA from 1 species